CCGACUUUAAGGCGCGCGCGGCCGCGGAGGCUGCAGUCCCGUCCGGCGCGCCGCGGCUCCCUCCCGCCCCCGCUUCCUCCCGGCUCUGCCCGCAUGGGUCCCCGGCUCGGCUCGUGGCUCGCCGCGCUCCUGCUGCUCGUCUGUGGCGCUGGCUCCGUGCGCGGGGACACGCCUGCCAACUGCACCUACCCGGACCUGCUGGGCACCUGGGUCUUCCAGGUGGGCCCCAGCGGCUCCCAGCGCGAUGUCAACUGCUCGGUGAUGGGACCACCAGAAAAAAAAGUAGUGGUGCACCUCAAGAAGUUGGAUACAGCAUAUGAUGACUUUGGCAAUUCCGGCCAUUUCACCAUCAUUUACAAUCAAGGCUUUGAGAUCGUGUUGAAUGAUUACAAGUGGUUCGCCUUUUUUAAGGAUGUCACUGAUCUUAUCAGUCAGUUUUUCAUGCAACUGGGAACUGUGGGGAUGUAUGAUAUUCCACAUCUGAGGAACAAACUGGGUGAGCGCCAUUGAAAUACUUCUAACUUUCUUAUUAAAUGCAAGCCUCCCUCCUCCGUGGUGGCUUAUUUAUUAAAUAGAGCGUCUGUUGAGCGGCUCUUUUAAAACCACAGCCGAAAACAGACUUUGGGGCUAAGAGGCAGAACAGCGCCCGCCAGUGGACCUGCCUCCCUCUCACAGCUCGCAGAGGCCUAGCAGCCACAGUCCCUCUGGAGUCUCUGAGGGCACGUCACAUGCAGAGCAGUCCUGGUGCCUACCUCCGAGGCAGCUGCCCUCCGAACGUUUCCUUGGAAAGCAGCCACCGCCGUUUUGGAAUGUGAGCAACCAAAGACCAAGCAGGAAGAAGGAAAAAGCUCUGCGAUUCUUAGGUGGCUUUAUCCUUCAGCCUUUGAAUGAGAAGAAUCAUAUGCAACACCAGGGUGAUUUGCUGUUGUUGUAUUUUUUUUCUCUUUUGAAUGUUCUUUUGUUGAAGUGAUUUUUUUUUUUUUUUCAAACUGCUUAGGACUUGAAUUAUUUGUUGUAUUUUGUGCAGAUUUUACUCAGUUAAAAUGGUCUUCCCAUGGGCCUUCUCUUUCUCUAAUGACCUUGAGGAACCCCAACACGUGUUAUAAGAAGAAAAUCAAGCUUCAGAAUAUCUUGAGAUGCACAGAUGCAUUAUGUGAGGGAAGAUGGUCCCAGGGAAGACAUGCUUGGGGAAGGGAGCUUUCUGAGAUAAGCUGAACUGCUGAAGGGUCUCUUUUUGCAGAUCAUAGAUCUGCAGUGCCCCUGUCUAGAGAUACAUUUGGGGCGGAGAGAGGGGGAGCCUAUAUUUUUUUCCUUAGAUGCCAGUCUUGUGCUAAGAGCUUAACAUGCUUUACCUUACAAAUAAAUGUCCUGUGAAGUAGAUAUUACUAGCUUCAGUUUUCAGAUAGGGAGAAUUACUCUCAUACAGUGCUUAAGCUCACACAGCUUCUGUUUUUUCUUUUUUUAAAUUUUGUUAUUUUUUUAAAAUUUCUUUGGCCAUGCAUGUGGCAUCUUGGUUUCUCAACUGGGAAUCAAACCCACAUUCCCUGUACAGAAGUGUGGAGUCUUCAUCACCAGACCACCAGGGAAGUCCCACACAGCUUCUAAUUAUAAAAUGAUACGGGCUAUUUGCCAAGUUUGUUUCAGAAAAAAAUAUUGGUACUUCAGGUCACAUUUGGGUAGAUUUUCUGGUAAUCCCAAAUGUUAGUUCAAUGCACUGAAUUGCUCUUGUUAAAAUUUUAGGAGAAGAACUGGCCUGAAGCUGAGAUUUUCUUACCGAAUGAGGCUACUCAUUUUCUUUCCUAAGCCUGGGUCCCUUUAUUCAAGGGACACAAAUUUACUUUCUCCUUCCUUUUAUAGUUCUCCAAAUUGAAGACACAAAUUUACUUUCUCCUUCCUUUUAUAGUUCUCCAAAUUGAAGGAGAGUUUUAUAAGCUUCGAAUUAAGUACCCUUGUCAAGCUUACUUCUCUUAAUUAAGUUAUUGUUCAAAGCCAUUGCUGCCUUUUAGUGCUUUCCUGCUACACAAUGGACUAGUUUCCUCCUCAGUUGUUUAGAGCUGAUUAAACAUCAGCCUUGGCAAACCAGAAACGUGGGGCUCCACCCAAUUCAUAUUUCCUAGGAGGACUUUUCUGCAUCCCUUGAAUUACUCCUUGAGUGGAGAAAUCUUUCUCUGCUGGUAGGUUGUCAUCAUUACUUUAUUGGUUCAGAUACUUAUGUUGUUUGAGAGGCACUGGUCUGCUGUUCUGGAAAGGUGGUAUCUAUAAACACUAAGGAACAGUACACCCAACUGCUACCUGGAUGCUUUCUUCCAUCCUGCUAAUUCUGUGUCACUCAGGUUCUCGGUGCUGCAUCUGUGCGGUUCCCCAGCUCUCUCCAUCACUGGGAGGGACGCCUUUCUGUUGGUUCCAGGUGUACGUGGCAGGGAUUUCUGACCUGGUAGUACUCUGCUGUAAAAGGAAUGACUUGAGCCUGUCUUCUUCCAGACUGAAAGCCUAUCUUCAGAUUUUAGUGCAUGUAGAACUUUCUCUGGGAACUUUGGAAGAUUAUCCACAUGUCUCUAAUCUUUUCACAGACUUCAGAAGUAACACCAGCUUUCAAAAACUUAAUUCUGUAGGGUCCUAGAAGCACAAAUCAGGAAUGGUGCUAUGCUUAUAUUUUUGGUGUUCUGUUCUAAAAGAUUUAUCAUGUUUCAUGCCUCCAGUGUUCUGUAAGAGUUGUGUAUUUUCAAACUGGUUGUAAAUACUGACAAAGCAACAAGCGUGUAUAUAUUUAGCGAGGCAUUUAAAAUCACCCCUACCGAAGUAGUUUUUUCCCAAAGUGGUUUCUUUGAGUAACUUUGCAUUUAAUGUUUGUUUUGAUUAUAGAAGACUUGGGUACAAAAUUGCAGGUAUCUGUGUUAGAAGUGCCCAUAAGAGAUGACUGCUUAGCAUUCUCUGUUGUAAUUGCUUGUUUGUCCUUCCUUCUGAUUUUUAAACUCCUUGAGGGCAGUGAUCAACUCUGUAUUCCCGACCUUUUUAUUUCAUAUGUAUAGCACACUAUGUGAUAAAUAACAGACCUUCAAUAAAUAUUUGUAAAAGAAAGAAAAUUGAAUAAUA